GUGGGGAAUAUUGGACAAUGGGGGCAACCCUGAUCCAGCAAUGCCGCGUGUGUGAAGAAGGCCUUAGGGUUGUAAAGCACUUUCACCGGGGAAGAUGAUGACGGUACCCGGAGAAGAAGCUCCGGCUAACUCCGUGCCAGCAGCCGCGGUAAGACGGAGGGGGCUAGCGUUGUUCGGAAUUACUGGGCGUAAAGCGCGCGUAGGCGGACCAACAAGUUGGGCGUGAAAGCCCUGGGCUCAACCCAGGAAUUGCGCUCGAAACUGUUGGACUAGAGUCCGGGAGAGGAUAGUGGAAUUCCCAGUGUAGAGGUGAAAUUCGUAGAUAUUGGGAAGAACACCAGUGGCGAAGGCGGCUAUCUGGACCGGUACUGACGCUGAGGUGCGAAAGCGUGGGGAGCAAACAGG
rnacentral:rRNA from 1 species